rnacentral:RNase_P_RNA from 1 species
UUUGGGGCCUGAUUGUCGCUCCUCGUUCUUUGAUUCCUGCCGGCCGGUCACUCGGUCGGUGGUGACAGAUGCGUGGAGAGGAAAGUCCGGACACUGCAGGGCACGAGGCCGCACGAGGUUAAACCCAAGUGCGGGAGCGUCGUUUCAAAGCGACGCGACGGACAGUGUCACAGAAAACAAACCGCCUGUCUGGAUUUGAGAUCUCAAAUUUGAGAUCUGAAAUCCCAGACCGGUAAGGGUGAAAAGGUGGGGUAAGAGCCCACCGCGUCGUUCGUGAGAACGGCGGCACGAAAAACCCACUCGGGUGCAAGGCAAAAUAGGCGACUGGACGGCCCGUCCGAUAGUCGCGGGUAUGCCGCAUCCCGCUUCGGCGGGACAGUGACGCAAGUUGCUGAGAGAAAUGACAAUCGAAGUGCCGCAAGGCACGGAACAUAAUCCGGCUUAUCGGCCCCAAAACCA